rnacentral:rRNA from 1 species
UACGUAGGGUGCAAGCGUUAAUCGGAAUUACUGGGCGUAAAGCGUGCGCAGGCGGUUGUGCAAGACAGGUGUGAAAUCCCCGGGCUUAACCUGGGAACUGCACUUGUGACUGCACAGCUGGAGUACGGCAGAGGGGGAUGGAAUUCCGCGUGUAGCAGUGAAAUGCGUAGAUAUGCGGAGGAACACCGAUGGCGAAGGCAGUCCCCUGGGCCUGUACUGACGCUCAUGCACGAAAGCGUGGGGAGCAAACAGGAUUAGAUACCCUGGUAGUCCACGCCCUAAACGAUGUCAACUGGUUGUUGGGAAGGUUCCUUCUCAGUAACGUAGCUAACGCGUGAAGUUGACCGCCUGGGGAGUACGGCCGCAAGGUUG